rnacentral:tRNA from 1 species
AGUCCUGCAGCGCCGGUGCUUGAGCCGGCCGCUCAUAACGGUCUGGUCGCGGGUUCGAGCCCUGCCAAGUCUGCCA